CAGACAGGUCAGAAAGCCUCAGGACCUUGUCCCAUCCAAAGAGGCCCUUGGAGGAGGAGAUGAGAGAGUACAGAGGAGGCCCUCUGAUGGUCAACAUAUCUACUCACUGAAUCACCGAGAGGGUCCGGUUGGCUGCCAAGGCCUCAGCCAUGGACUUGGCACCAUCAUCCCUGAUCCUGUUGCUCUGGAGGCUGUGAAGGUUCGUGAUCCAAGUCCCUCAGCUUCACCAGCAUCAUCAAGGCCUGGACACAGGCAGAGAUCAAGUGAGCCCUGGAACAGAAUGCGAGGCCCAGGAAAGCCUCUGAACUGAGCAAGAUGAGUGCCUGAGCCUCUGGAACUUUCUAGAAUGGGCAGAAACAAGCGGCUGCAUCCUGAGACAUAUGCUUCAAAGACACCUCUCCUUGAAAGCACCACUAGCCAAUUUAGCAGAGAGGAGGAUGGGAAAGUAGCCCUCAGACCC